rnacentral:rRNA from 1 species
CAAUAGCGUAUAUUAAAGUUGUUGCAGUUAAAAAGCUCGUAGUUGGAUUUCGGAGUGGGCCAGUUGGUCCGCCGCAAGGUGUGUUACUGACUGGUUUGCUCUUCUUCGCAAAGACUGCGUGUGCCCUUAAAUGAGUGUGCGUAGGAUUUACGACGUUUACUUUGAAAAAAUUAGAGUGUUCAAAGCAGGCCUAUGCUCUGAAUAGGUUAGCAUGGAAUAAUAGAAUAGGACUUUGGUUCUAUUUUGUUGGUUUCUAGGACCGAAGUAAUGAUUAAUAGGGACAGUUGGGGGCAUUUUUAUUCCAUUGUCAGAGGUGAAAUUCUUGGAUUAACGGAAGAAAAAUCUACUGCGAAAGCAUCUGCCAAGGAUGUUUUCAUUGAUCAAGAACGAAAGUUAGGGGAUCGAAGAUGAUCAGAU